rnacentral:rRNA from 1 species
CCCUUAGAUGUUCGGGGCCGCACGCGCGCUACACUGAAGGAAUCAGCACGUCUUCCUCCUUGUCCGAAAGGACUGGGUAACCCGCUGAACCUCCUUCGUGCUAGGGAUUGGGGCUUGUAAUUCUUCCCCAUGAACGAGGAAUUCCCAGUAAGCGCGAGUCAUAAGCUCGCGUUGAUUACGUCCCUGCCCUUUGUACACACCGCCCGUCGCUACUACCGAUUGGAUGGUUUAGUGAGAUCCUCGGAUUGGUCCCGGCGCGGCCUCUGGUCGUGCCGGAGUGCCGAAAAGAAUGUCGAACUUGAUCAUCUAGAGGAAGUAAAAGUCGUAACA